rnacentral:lncRNA from 1 species
GUCCAGAACUGCCUCGGAAGAUGAUGGACUGGAAGAAGAUGUCCCGACACCAUCAGUAAACAUAUGAGAGUAAGUAGGUGCUGCUGGCUUUCUUCUAGGACCCAUCUAAAUUUCAAAAAGAAAAAGAAUUAGAAUUAGUUUUAUCAACAACUACGUAAUUAAAAAGUAUUUUCCCGAUACCUAACUAAUCACCUAAACUAAUUACCUAUACUAACCACCUAAACUAAUUACCUACACUAACCACCU